GGGUACUAGCCUCUGCAGUAUCCAGACAGCUUCAAGGAGCGGUGUCUCAGAAAGGCAGCGUCCAUUAUUAAGGACCCCCACCACCCAGGGCAUGCCCUUUUCUCACUGCUACGAUCAGGUUGCCGCCCAACUCAGAGAAACUGCCGCGAAACUCUGCCUUUUAAGUCCCGAUUGAAAGGGACUUGAUUGAAAGGUUAUGUGUAUUGCAUUGAACUGCUGCUGCCCAACGCCGGCCCCCUAGGCCUGAGUCGACGUCGUAGUAGUAGUAGUAGCUGCUGCUAAGUUAACAAAUUUCACGUCAUAUGCCGGUGAUAAUAAACCUGAUUCUGAUUCUUAUUCUGAUUCUGAAGACUGGUCAUAGAACAUGGAACAUUGGA